ACAAUCUCAUUAAUCACAAUCAACAUCAAUUAAUACAAUUAAUCUCAGCUAAUUAUAAGCAAAAGAGGGAUUAGGGUUUAGAAUUGUGCCUCUUGAGAUUUUCUGAACGAACUCUCCCCCUCUCCUCAAACGCGACGGCGACUUCGGCCUUCUCCGAUCGGAAAAACUCACAGCGCCGCCGUGAACAGUCCGAACACGUCUUCCUCUCAUCAGAACUCUUCGCUUUGCUCUCACCUCUCUCAAACGAUCUCAACGCAUCUUCGCUCAGAUUCUCCCGCUCGCCUCGCUCUCAAUCGAUUGCUUAGCACCAACAUUCUCCGUUCACGAUUCAACGAUCCAGACACUUUCUUCUUCUACUAUGCAAUUGACUUUGUGAUUGUUACUGAUGUUGAAUUGCUGUUGAUUUGUUGUAGUUUGAGGAUGAUGAUGAACAACGUUUUGGUUGCAGGAUUUUCGGAGGAGACUGAAGCGUGAAAGAAAGUGAAGAUUGCGAUGAUUGAUGAAGCUGAUAACGAUUCAGUUAUUGAUGCGGAUGAAUCAUUGAAGAUGAUGAAGAUUGUUGAGUGGUGAUUGAUGAUUGAAGACGAUGCUGAGAGAGAUGAAAAGCGAUGUGAAGAUUGAAGGUUAUGAAGGUUCGAUGAUGGAGAUUCACUGUUGAUUAUUGGAGCUUCAAGAAACGGUUACGGUUGAUGGUUCUUUUUGGAGAUGAAGAGAGAUUGAAGCUCUUUCUGAUUUUUCUUGGUGAUGAUUGAAUGAAUUGUGAUGAGGUUGAAGAUGAGUGAUGGUUGAAGAAGAAGCUUGAAGAAGAUGAAGACUCGAGAGAGUUUGUUACAGGUUUGGUUUUGUUGGUAUGAAGGACCGCUUAGUUGAGGUGCUGAAUCGGUUUUCUUGAGGUGAAGUGAAGUUUGAAGUUCAUACGGAUCGUGAAAGAAAAUUUGAAGAUUGUAGAAUACAGACUUGAAGCUAGAAGUGGCACGUGAUGUGAAGAUGGGAUCUUUGGAUUAUGACUUGGGCCUUUUGAAUGACUUGGGAAAUUUCAUGACUUGGCCUUUUGAAUGACUUGGCCUUUUUGAAUAUUUUUGUAACCUUUGGACAUCUGAAUUUUUUGUAAUGAAUUUUGUAAUGGACUUGAGAAAUUAUGUAAUGAACUUGGAGUGAAUUUUGUGAUAAUAUUGUAAUGAUAAUUGAAUGAAUGUUUGACUUA